ACAAAACCAAUAGGGAGGGAAAAGGAAAUACGCCCUGUGUCGGAGAGACGGCACACCACCCUGUAUGGAGCAAAGGCAACUUAGUGAAUGCCCACGUACUAAACACCACAGGCGAUUUUUAUUUUGGGCAUAGGUUAGCUUUUCCCUUCCAGCUGCAGGAGGGUACAGGCCAGUGCAGGAUGAGCUCUCCAACUUGCAGUCCGAAGGUCUGAGCAGCAAAUCUCACUGAGCGAACUAACAGGGAUCUGCAAGCUGCAGCAAGCACCCCAAACCCUCUCUGCAAAGCUGCAGAAGGAAGAAGAGGAAGGUGUCAGAAGCACUGGCUGUGGUAGCCUUGACAGAACAGAGAAAACAACAUUUGGUAAUCUGAAGCAGGAAGGAAUUAUCAGGAAGAACAUGACCUAGUCAGCCACAGCUCAUGAAAUCAAAGAAAUCAUGGAAGCAAGGUUAGACUUGAUGAGUCCGUGGAUCUCAGAGGAUGGUUGACACUUCUAUUCUGUCUUAUCAAGUCUUCACUGGUAAAAUAGGAUUUGACCUCCAUUACAUGCUGUAAUAGCCUAAACAAAUGGGAAUUAAAAUGCUAAUGGCUGUAACAACUCUACCAGCUACCAGUCACUAUGUAUCACCUAACCCAAAGCCACCUCCUCUGGCACCAA